GACGAACGCUGGCGGCGCGCCUAACACAUGCAAGUCGAACGAGCGAGAGAGAGCUUGCUUUCUCGAGCGAGUGGCGAACGGGUGAGUAACGCGUGAGGAACCUGCCUCAAAGAGGGGGACAACAGUUGGAAACGACUGCUAAUACCGCAUAAGCCCACGACCCGGCAUCGGGUAGAGGGAAAAGGGGCAAUCCGCUUUGAGAUGGCCUCGCGUCCGAUUAGCUAGUUGGUGAGGUAACGGCCCACCAAGGCGACGAUCGGUAGCCGGACUGAGAGGUUGAACGGCCACAUUGGGAGUGAGACACGGCCCAGACUCCUACGGGAGGCAGCAGUGGGGAAUAUUGCACAAUGGGGGAAACCCUGAUGCAGCGACGCCGCGUGGAGGAAGAAGGUCUUCGGAUUGUAAACUCCUGUUGGUGAGGAAGAUAAUGACGGUACUCAACAAGGAAGUGACGGCUAACUACGU
rnacentral:rRNA from 1 species